UCAUCCACAAGAUAAAUUCAGUCAUCCUUUCUAAAACCAACAAUACUUGAUAACAGCCCUGUAGACCUUUAUCCCAUGGAAUUUUAGCCAAAUCUAGCAACACGAAUAUUAGACAUAGCAAGAACAUGAAGAAGACCAAACAAAAAAUCGAAUUAAUAUGAAGUUCCCAAACAAACUGGAUUCCAUUUCGCACAACAAACAAAAUCGAAUUAAUAUAUAGUUAGCAAAGAAACAUGUUCAAUCUCGCACAUCAAGAAUACCAACAACAUGAAUAGAACCUAAAUUGGGAUUUAACCAUGAAGAAGCAAUAACAAACGAGAUUCUGGUAUGGAAAAGUGUGUGAUACGGGUAUGUAAGGUAUGAACCGAAGACAUAAGAGAAGAACUAGGUCGAUUCCAAAAACGAUGGGAUGAGAAAUCCAGAUACGAUUAUACGAAGCCUAAUUAAAACCUAGGACGUAGUUGGUAGGGAUCGAAGUAGGGGCUGUUUAUUUCUCCGCUUUCUUUGGAAUUGAUUCCAUUUCUCUCCUCCCAAUGGAAAUCUUCGGCAUAAUCGAUGCUGCCUCCCCCGCUUUCGUCGUCUCCAUCGGCGUCCUCCAUAAGCUACUCAAACAUAUGUUCCAUCGUCUCUACCGGAACUCCCGAAUCCAUCACCUCAAUCGACCACCACUGGAACUACAAUCACAGAUAAACACACCUUUCAUCGGUCAGAUCUUACCGGAACUCCCGAAUCCAUCACCUUAAUUUUGAUUUGUUGUUGCAGUAGCAGAUGAAGAACUUUGAAUAGGAAGGAGUUCUAAGUUUUUUGAGAAAAAGUAGCAGAUGAAGAACUUUGAAUAGGAAGGAGGUCUAAGCUUUUUGAGAAAAAUGUUUGGAUUUAUCGGCUUUACUACACCAGUUCUAUAAGUUUUUCACCAUCGCCUUCACCACCUAUUAUAUAUUUCACAAAGAAACACGGUAAUAUAUUUCUCGUGUCAGUUGUUCUUCAUCUCUAUCACCAUAAGGUUCAGCGUUCUUUCCCAUUUCCCUCAAUCUCUCUCUAUGUAUAUGUGUGUGUUUAUGAUUUUGUUUCUUUGUAACAGAAGAAGAAACGAUUUUGUUGAUUGCGACUUAGAGAAGGUGGAUCUGGUGUAUCAGGACAUUCAGGAAUCCAAUUGGUAAUCCAACCUGUUUCAUAAAACAAUAAAUAGAGUGUAAUGUAUGAGAUUAACAAAAUUAAUUUCAUAUAUAAUAUUUUAAUAGAGGUUAAAGUCAUUUCACAAGAGGAGAUUGAUUAAUUUUUGUUGCUUAGAUCUGUGUGUUGUGUAACUGGGAGCACAAACAUGAAUAAUCAAAUCUAGGUUUUUUUUAUUCUACAUUCACAACCUUGCUUCCUUCCUAUAUGUUCUUCAUUCCAACUUUGACAUACAAGGCAAUAGAUUUUGUUGUACACUGUUUCUAAGAAGUGCUCGCCUUCGAUCACGUCGCUGCCACCGUCAAGCAAAAUCGAGACGAUUCAUCACACGUAUAGGUCAUCCUACGGCUGAUUAGGGUUUUGUUUGACCGCCACUGUCGUCUCCAGCGUUUCCGACACGCCAACACCAGCUCCACCACAUCCUCAUCAAAUGAUCUACGACCACCUAUCUAUUCGCUUAGGGUUGAUGUCCGGUUUUUCAUGUAUUUCUAGGGCAGCGUCAUAGAGUUGCUUCCAUGGUGAAGCGUGGUUGUUAUUUUGAUUUUGCUUCACCAUUUCUUUGCCCAAUCACGUUCGUAUUUGUGUACUUCUAUUCGACACCUCCACCGCCUCUUACCGACUAUGUUCCCGUGCUCUUCUCCUGUCUCUCUCACCUAAAAUCCGGGCGGUCACUCAUUUUCUCCACCAUCGCUGCUUUCGCUAAUAUCCACUCCGACCUCUUAUGAACGCAAAUGGCCAUAUGCUACUGUGGCGGUUCGGUCAGUGAGUCGAUUGCAGAAAAUGAGAAGAUUUAGGGUUUUUUUUGGUCCAGUGGAAUACUUUCAGGCGAUAUGCUACUGUGGCGAUUCAGUCGGUGGCGGGUCAGCCUCAAUUUCAUAACAUUUUAAGGGAUUGCUGUUGGUGUUCAUCGACGGUCGUGGUGGGUCGGAGGUGCCAUGGUGAUGUGAAGAAAUAGAGAAAAAGGAAUAUAGUCAUCACUUCCUGAUACCGACGACGAUCCGUUUUCUGCAUUAGCCAGAUUGAAUGACUUCAAAGGAGUUUUAUACACAACAGUACCAAGGCCAUCGGCUACUUUUGACAUGUUCCCUUCUUGGCCUAUGAGAGUUCAUCAAACCCCAAGAUAAAAUGGUUCCAUGUACAGGUAGGUACUUGCUGAUAUGGUUCUUUUUGCUCAACCUCCAAAUCUGGUCUCAUGUUUAAUGAAGGUUUCAACAAUCCAACGUGUAAGCCUAUUUUCUACAUUUCCUUUUGAGUUUUAAGGUUUUUGAUAAUUUUUAGCUUAUGUGGUCUGAAUUGGUUCGUGAGUUCAAUUUGUUUAUGGCUAUAGAAACCAAGUGAGUUCGGUUAUUUUACGUCAAGACAACCCUAAAUGUUUUUUUUUUUUUUUUUUUUUUUUUUAAUUUUAUUUAAAUCUGGGUAUUGUUAUGUUUGUUUUUUUAAGGUUAUUCUAAGAUGUAAUAAAUUUGUUAGUACUUUCUCCUCAGGUUAAUAGUUGACCCAGGUCUGAAAAUUCUGAAAUGAGAAUAUGAAUGAAUAUAAUAAGGAAAUUGUUUUUAUGGAGAUA